rnacentral:rRNA from 1 species
CACGCAGGCGGUUUGUUAAGUCAGAUGUGAAAUCCCCGGGCUCAACCUGGGAACUGCAUCUGAUACUGGCAAGCUUGAGUCUCGUAGAGGGGGGUAGAAUUCCAGGUGUAGCGGUGAAAUGCGUAGAGAUCUGGAGGAAUACCGGUGGCGAAGGCGGCCCCCUGGACGAAGACUGACGCUCAGGUGCGAAAGCGUGGGGAGCAAACAGGAUUAGAUACCCUGGUAGUCCACGCCGUAAACGAUGUCGACUUGGAGGUUGUGCCCUUGAGGCGUGGCUUCCGGAGCUAACGCGUUAAGUCGACCGCCUGGGGAGUACGGCCGCAAGGUUAAAACUCAAAUGAAUUGACGGGGGCCCGUACAAGCGGUGGAGCAUGUGGUUUAAUUCGAUGCAACGCGAAGAACCUUACCUGGUCUUGACAUCCACGGAAGUUUUCAGAGAUGAGAAUGUGCCUUCGGGAACCGUGAGACAGGUGCUGCAUGGCUGUCGUAAGCUCGUGUUGUGAAAUGUUGGGUUAAGUCCCGCAACGAGCGCAACCCUUA